rnacentral:rRNA from 1 species
UGGGGAAUCUUGCACAAUGGGGGCAACCCUGAUGCAGCGACGCCGCGUGAGCGAUGAAGCCCUUCGGGGCGUAAAGCUCUUUCGACCGGAACGAUAAUGACGGUACCGGGAGAAGAAGCUGCGGCUAACUACGUGCCAGCAGCCGCGGUAAUACGUAGGUGGCAAGCGUUGUCCGGAAUUAUUGGGCGUAAAGCGCGCGCAGGCGGGAUAUCAAGUCUAUCUUAAAAGUGCUGGGCUCAACCCAGUGAGGGGAUGGAAACUGGUAUUCUUGAGUGUCGGAGAGGAAAGUGGAAUUCCCAGUGUAGCGGUGAAAUGCGUAGAUAUUGGGAGGAACACCAGUGGCGAAGGCGACUUUCUGGACGAUGUCUGACGCUGAGGCGCGAAAGCCAGGGAAGUGAAC